UAUUGGUCAAUAGCCUAACGGCUGAACCAGCAAUUUGGAGGAAUGUAUAGGGAAAACUGGUAAAAUGUGAUGUACCUAGUAAUAUUAGAAAUUAAUAUGAGAUUAACUAAGUUAAUUAAAAUUCUAAGUAGAUAUGUGAUUAUGACAAUAUCUGCUGAGGUCUUGACCAAGUCACGUGCCAGCAGUCGCGGUAAUACGUGGAAGACGAGUGUUAUUCAUCUUUAUUAGGUAUAAAGGGUACCUAGACGGUUAAUUAAGCAAAAUUAUGUACUAAUUAACUAGAGUUUAAUGUAAGAAGGUUAGAGUACAAUGAGUGUAGAGAUAAAAUUCUUUGAUACCAAUUCGGAACUGGUAAAGGCGAAGGCAACUUUCUAUGUAAAAACUGACGUUAAGGGACGAAGG
rnacentral:rRNA from 1 species